rnacentral:rRNA from 1 species
UAGGGAAUCUUCGGCAAUGGACGAAAGUCUGACCGAGCAACGCCGCGUGAGUGAAGAAGGUUUUCGGAUCGUAAAACUCUGUUGUUAGAGAAGAACAAGGACGUUAGUAACUGAACGUCCCCUGACGGUAUCUAACCAGAAAGCCACGGCUAACUACGUGCCAGCAGCCGCGGUAAUACGUAGGUGGCAACCGUUGUCCGGAUUUAUUGGGCGUAAAGCGAGCGCAGGCGGUUUCUUAAGUCUGAUGUGAAAGCCCCCGGCUCAACCGGGGAGGGUCAUUGGAAACUGGGAGACUUGAGUGCAGAAGAGGAGAGUGGAAUUCCAUGUGUAGCGGUGAAAUGCGUAGAUAUAUGGAGGAACACCAGUGGCGAAGGCGGCUCUCUGGUCUGUAACUGACGCUGAGGCUCGAAAGCGUGGGGAGCAAACAGG